rnacentral:rRNA from 1 species
AUUGAACGCUGGCGGCAGGCUUAACACAUGCAAGUCGAGCGGAGAUGAGGUGCUUGCACCUUAUCUUAGCGGCGGACGGGUGAGUAAUGCUUAGGAAUCUGCCUAUUAGUGGGGGACAACAUUCCGAAAGGAAUGCUAAUACCGCAUACGUCCUACGGUAGAAAGCAGGGGAUCUUCGGACCUUGCGCUAAUAGAUGAGCCUAAGUCGGAUUAGCUAGUUGGUGGGGUAAAGGCCUACCAAGGCGACGAUCUGUAGCGGGUCUGAGAGGAUGAUCCGCCACACUGGGACUGAGUCACGGCCCAGACUCCUACGGGAGGCAGCAGUGGGGAAUAUUGGACAAUGGGGGGAACCCUGAUCCAGCCAUGCCGCGUGUGUGAAGAAGGCCUUAUGGUUGUAAAGCACUUUUAGCGAGGAGGAGGCUACUGAGACUAAUACUCUUGGAUAGUGGACGUUACUCGCAGAAUAAGCACCGGCUAACUCUGUGCCAGCAGCCGCGGUAAAAC